rnacentral:rRNA from 1 species
AUUAGCUCUUUUAGAGUUACUUGGGCACAUUGGAAAUCCUAAACGUGAAGCACCACAAAGCCCUGAAUUCCCCGUCAAGGAUUGCUGACUAAUAUUUAAGAAGACACCACCUUCUGGUACUUGACCUUGUAGCUUGUUGAAAGACAUGUUCAAGCUGGUCAAGAUGGUGAAAUUUACUAGGUACUUUGGUAUUGUACCAGAGAGAUUGUUAUGUGAUAGGUCCAAAGUUUGCAAGCUGGUUAGCUUGCCGAAAGAUUCUGGAAGUGAAUCAUCAAAUGAAUUGUGUGACAGGUUCAAGUAGGCCAUCGUUUGGAGUUGUCCAACCGAAUAUGGGAUGCUACCAACCAAGAGGUUGGCAGAGAGGUCCAU